CCUGCAGCUUUGGAUCAGCAGGACCAGCCCUUUUGCAAGUGCCCAGCAAUUCACAGUUCACAGUGAGGGGUGGGGCCGGUUCUGCACAUCACCUGGGUAGCUGGUGGCUGCCCAGACCCCAGGACAACCUCAUGGUCUCUAGUGGCAAUAUGAGCCACCGAUACUGACAUCGACCCCUGCCACUGCUUAGCCACGGAUCCAGAUCCAGGUCCUCAGCAAUAGCAUGGGCGGGGACGUCAUCAUGGCCUCAGGUCUCUGGAUGUCUCCCGGGUUUACUUUUAACCUCUACUGCCAUCAGCACAGUCCUGGGUGACACUGCGAUGACCUCCUUGUCACUGACCUCCGCACAGCAAUCAAUGGUCCCAGUCGGAGCAUGCUUCCUGACAGAGCAUUUUGGAAAGAGGCCUCAGAAGAGCUCCCCAAAACUGGUCCCCAAAAUUGCAUCAUCUGGGGAUGCUGACAGGAAGCAAGAAAAACAAAAAUAGGAUCCAUCCGUGAUACAUUCAUAGUCCUUUUUUUUUUCCCCAAAAAACCUCGAGUACAGUUGAUUCUUUACCAGU